rnacentral:rRNA from 1 species
CGGACGGGUAAGUAAUGUCUGGGAAACUGCCUGAUGGAGGGGGAUAACUACUGGAAACGGUAGCUAAUACCGCAUAACGUCGCAAGACCAAAGAGGGGGACCUUCGGGCCUCUUGCCAUCGGAUGUGCCCAGAUGGGAUUAGCUAGUAGGUGGGGUAACGGCUCACCUAGGCGACGAUCCCUAGCUGGUCUGAGAGGAUGACCAGCCACACUGGAACUGAGACACGGUCCAG